UAUUGGGAUAAAGAACAUGAGUGAGGUGGUACUCAUACUAUGACAAAAAUGCUUAGGGGGUACUCAAGACGAAAAAGGUUGGGAGACACUGAUGUAUGCCCAGAUCAUGUACGCCCAGAGCAAAGUCACAGGCAGUGUGCUUCUCUUGCAUUCACAGACUGCCCAUGCUUUUUUAAAGAGAUAAGUUAGAAUGCUUUGCAUAUCUAUUUGUGUAGAGUUAAUCACCAAGACAAUUUCCAGAAGUUGUAUCCAGGUGUCAAUUGUGUCCUUGUUCUGGUGUUGUUAUUUUCAAACAGAGAUGGCUCUUGCUCACUGGCAGUGACUUGGGUCAUGUGAGACAGCAUCAGAGCUCGGGUGACAUCUCUCGCUCGGGUGAAAUCUCUCCUGGAAGAUUUCAAGGUGUGUGCAGAGUUCUGAAGAAUAAAAGUCAACAGUCAAGUUCUUCUCCAUAUUCUCCAAAUCUGACGGAGGCGUUCCAUCAGGAAAGGGGGAAUGGUUGGUCGAUGCCUCCAGAAUAAUGAUACCCAUGACCCAGGCACAACAUGCUGACAGGGAAUCGGCUAUGGCAGAAAGCAUCCAUGCCAUCUACGUGAUCCGCCAUGAAGGUUCAGAAGCUACUGACAUUUGGCUGCAUUUGGCUGCUUGCCAAACAUCCUACCCAGGCUCCGCCCUCGCAGUGACGCAACACCUUCGGCUCUGCUACACACACUCAGGAAAACUUUGUUCAGGUACUUUCGGGUUCCCUCCACAGCAGGAAACUCCACCCACUUUGUCGGGAAGCAAUCGACUUUCAGCAUCACCAACCGUCCUGGCUAGAGGCGUGUUCAAGGAAGUGACAAGGUUUGAGCAGAGACGCUCUAUUGGGACUAAGAAAAUGUUUGGUUUAAACUUUGGCUCAGCCUGUUCAGCCCUCGACCAGUAGCAAAUCAUGAGAGUUGGGUCAACCAUGCCGUUUGAGAAUGUUGUUAUGCUCUUGGUCAGACCAAGUCUCGAAGAGAUUUGUAAGUCAUGAUAAUCAGGUUACAAAUAUUCACUUACAGUGGCCAUAUUUCUUGCCCUUGUUUACGCACUAAACUUGUUAUCCUCCUUGAAAGUUGUGUGUGUGUGUGAGUAAUAAUGCAGACAUAAUAAUAACAAUUGACUAGAAGUACAAAUACACAUUUCUACAUUAUUGCUCACACACAGCUUUUGGUAAAACAUUACUGAAAUGGCCAAACACCUUUUAUGCAUUUUUUAAUAAAGAGUCAUUGCAUUGAGCAGAUCAUUGAGAGGCUCUGAAGUCCACUACACUAUUCUUAACUUGUGUGCGUGCGUACCUCCUCAAGCACAUAUACAGCACUCUAUUUUUAACAUUUUUUAGAAAUGUUUUUCUUUUUUUUUGACUUAACAACCUGUUAAAAACACAGCGUUAAACUUUGGCUUUUUUCGCACACCUCAGCUGGCAGGUGCGUCGGAGAUGGCACCAUGGGUCACUCAGCAAUAGUUUAAAGAAACUCCCGCACACUGACCAUUUCGCUCUUCUAUCUUUAAUAAACUUAAAUUUAUUAAAGAAAGAACAGCGAAAUGGUCAGUGUGCGGGAGUUUCUUUAAACAAAAACACAGCGUUACAAAUUUGUUGUUACUAGAAUGGCAAGGACAGUCAUAGUGCAUUACUAAAGGCCCUGUGUUAUGUCAUCGUAGACAAGUAUUAUGGUAAUUAACCUUUCAAUGACUGUUGGUGUGCUACUGGUGGUAUGGAAUGCAUUAUUGGCCUACAACACACGUGUACGCUCUUGUAUGUAAGUGUUUAAAAUGUUUUUUUGUUUAUUUUUUAUUUAUUACCCUCAAGACAAUUUUGUGUUUUGGUUAAUGGCCUGGGGAAUGUGUUGAUUAAAAUAAAAAAAAAACAAAUCUUCAA